rnacentral:rRNA from 1 species
AGCGAGCGCUGGCGGCAGGCCUAACACAUGCAAGUCGAACGAACUCUUCGGAGUUAGUGGCGGACGGGUGAGUAACACGUGGGAACGUGCCUUUUGGUUCGGAAUAACUCAGGGAGACUUGUGCUAAUACCGAAUGUGCCCUUCGGGGGAAAGAUUUAUCGCCAUUAGAGCGGCCCGCGUCUGAUUAGCUAGUUGGUGAGGUAACGGCUCACCAAGGCGACGAUCAGUAGCUGGUCUGAGAGGAUGACCAGCCACACUGGGACUGAGACACGGCCCAGACUCCUACGGGAGGCAGCAGUGGGGAAUCUUGCGCAAUGGGCGAAAGCCUGACGCAGCCAUGCCGCGUGAAUGAUGAAGGUCUUAGGAUUGUAAAAUUCUUUCACCGGGGACGAUAAUGACGGUACCCGGAGAAGAAGCCCCGGCUAACUUCGUG